CUUUGGGGAGCUGAGCUCUGGGGACCCUCUUCACCAUGGCCUGGCCUUUCGUCUUUGUGUCACUGCUCACCUUCUGCUCAGGCUCCCUCUCCCAGCUGGUGCUGACUCAGCCUCCCUCUGUCUCUGCAUCCCUGGGGAGCACAGCCAGACUCACCUGUACUGUGAGCAGUGAGCAUAGUGGUUAUGCUGCUUAUUGGUACCAGCAGAGCCCAGGAAAGGCCCCUCAGUACCUCAUGUGGGUUGACAAUGAUGGAAGUAUAGGCAGGGCUGAUGGGAUCCCUGAGCGCUUCUCUGGCUCCAGCUCUGGGAACAAUCGAUUCCUGUCCAUCAGCAACGUCCAGGCUGAGGAUGAAGCCGAUUAUUACUGUGAGAAUGAUUAUAGCAUUGGUGGUGUUUAUGCUCAUCCACAGUGA